rnacentral:lncRNA from 1 species
GAUAAGGAGGCUAAAUUGUCGAGAAUGGCGGAGUGGAGGCUAUACGUCCAGUCACCUAGGGGCUUGAUACAUAUCGAAAUUGUGUCUGAGAUGUUGAGGGAGCUGGAUGCACUGCUAAAGGGGUGCCAUUCCAGGCGCGAAAUCCCAGGUACGUUGAUGUACAUGAAGCUUAAUGCGUUGUACUCAAAACCUGUAAAGGACAAAGAGCCUUUCACAUUAACUAAAUUGAAGGCCACGACUCUGAGGAUUGUAUGCCGACACCUGCAGGUCAAUGGUUCAAAUAAGUACUUGUUGGUAAAUUUGAACGCACCUUGUUGAAUGGGGAUCUUGAGCUCCACUACACCACUCGGCAGCACCUGCGCUGUUACGCCAGUUAUUCGUUUCUGAGACU